rnacentral:lncRNA from 1 species
GGUGCAGCUGCUGAAAAGCUCAAGCGAGCAUGCUACAAGUAUUAUCUAGGUUUCUCACGGACCCAAUCAACUUUACUUAGGGCCUGUUUGGUGUCAUGCACCGGCGUGAGUCAGGCUCACCGCAUGCACCCUCCUUUAGUUUGGUUGCCUGAUCGACCCCUCGAGCCAGGCCCUACGUGUGCAAAACGCCCCCCGCGGCCAGGCUCCGCGGAUACGAGGCGAGCGCGCGGGAGGCAAGCGGCCAUUUCGCUAGGGUUACCUCCCCAUUUUGCGUCACUCACUGCAAAUAUAUCCCCUGCCCCGCCGCCUCCACUCCCCAUCGGUCACCAUUCGUC